ACGGACUACCGGGGUAUCUAAUCCUGUUUGCUCCCCACGCUUUCGCGUCUCAGCGUCAGUCACGUCCCAGAGUGCUGCCUUCGCCAUUGGUGUUCCUCCUGAUAUCUGCGCAUUUCACCGCUACACCAGGAAUUCCACACUCCUCUUCCGGACUCGAGCUUGACAGUAUCCACCCGCCUCCCGGGGUUGAGCCCCGGGCUUUCAGAGCAGACUUACCAAGCCGCCUACACGCGCUUUACGCCCAAUGAUUCCGGACAACGCUUGCCCCCUACGUAUUACCGCGGCUGCUGGCACGUAGUUAGCCGGGGCUUCUUCUGAAGGUACCGUCACUCCGGCCGGCUAUUCACCGACGAAGCUUCGUCCCAACUGAAAGCGGUUUACAACCCGAAGGCCGUCUUCC
rnacentral:misc_RNA from 1 species